GCCCCUGUUGAGCUUGACUCUAGUCCGACGUUGUGAAAUGACUUGUGAGAUGUAGACAGGUGGGAGGGCAACCGAUUAUGAAAAACCACUGCUCGCAAAGUCGUUUUACUUAUUCCGUCACGUAGGAGCUGGACCCUAACGGAUCCAGUUCUAGACUUAAGCCCUCGGGCGACCUACGCGGGAAACAUCGUCAGGUGGGGAGUUUGG
rnacentral:rRNA from 1 species